rnacentral:rRNA from 1 species
UACAGGGGGGGGCAAGCGUUGUUCGGAAUUACUGGGCGUAAAGCGCGCGUAGGCGGCUUUGCAAGUCGGGUGUGAAAUCCCCAGGCUUAACCUGGGAACUGCAUUCGAGACUGCAUUGCUAGAGUAUGGGAGAGGGAAGUGGAAUUUCAGGUGUAGCGGUGAAAUGCGUAGAUAUCUGAAGGAACAUCAGUGGCGAAAGCGACUUCCUGGACCAAUACUGACGCUCAUGUGCGAAAGCGUGGGGAGCAAACAGG